GAAUGUUUCGAGAAUUGCUAGCCAGGGCCCUUUUUCUCGAAACAUUGGUAGCCCUAAGAAUUCUUAACUUGAUCGUAGCCAAUGUGUUAAGAAUGGGCUUAAGAAGUUCGUGGGGCUACGAACGUUUCGAGAAUAGCUAGCCAGAUCUGCCCGUGUCCUGGAAG